rnacentral:piRNA from 1 species
UAAUGCCCCUAAAAAUCCUU